rnacentral:rRNA from 1 species
CCUACGGGAGACAGCAGUGGGGAAUAUUGCACAAUGGGGGAAACCCUGAUGCAGCGACGCCGCGUGAGUGAAGAAGUAUUUCGGUAUGUAAAGCUCUAUCAGCAGGGAAGAAAAUGACGGUACCUGUUUAAUAAGCCCCGGCUAACUACGGGCCAGCAGCCGCGGUAAUACGUAGGGGGCAAGCGUUAUCCGGAUUUACUGGGUGUAAAGGGAGCGUAGACGGCAGCACAAGUCUGGAGUGAAAUGCCGGGGCUUAACCCCGGAACUGCUUUGGAAACUGUGCAGCUAGAGUGCAGGAGAGGUAAGUGGAAUUCCUAGUGUAGCGGUGAAAUGCGUAGAUAUUAGGAGGAACACCAGUGGCGAAGGCGGCUUACUGGACUGUAACUGACGUUGAGGCUCGAAAGCGUGGGGAGCAAACAGGAUUAGAUACCCUGGUAGUC